UGGGGAAUAUUGGACAAUGGGCGCAAGCCUGAUCCAGCCAUGCCGCGUGAGUGAUGAAGGCCCUAGGGUUGUAAAGCUCUUUCACCGGUGAAGAUAAUGACGGUAACCGGAGAAGAAGCCCCGGCUAACUUCGUGCCAGCAGCCGCGGUAAUACGAAGGGGGCUAGCGUUGUUCGGAUUUACUGGGCGUAAAGCGCACGUAGGCGGACUUUUAAGUCAGGGGUGAAAUCCCGGGGCUCAACCCCGGAACUGCCGUUGAUACUGGAAGUCUUGAGUAUGGUAGAGGUGAGUGGAAUUCCGGGUGUAGAGGUGAAAUUCGUAGAUAUUCGGAGGAACACCAGUGGCGAAGGCGGCUCACUGGACCAUUACUGACGCUGAGGUGCGAAAGAGUGGGGAGCAAACAGG
rnacentral:rRNA from 1 species